ACGGAAGGCAGCAGUGGGGAAUAUUGCACAAUGGGGGAAACCCUGAUGCAGCGACGCCGCGUGAGUGAAGAAGUAUUUCGGUAUGUAAAGCUCUAUCAGCAGGAAAGAAAAUGACGGUACCUGACUAAGAAGCCCCGGCUAACUACGUGCCAGCAGCCGCGGUAAUACGCAGGGGGCAAGCGUUAUCCGGAUUUACUGGGUGUAAAGGGAGCGUAGACGGCUUUGCAAGUCUGAAGUGAAAGCCCGGGGCUCAACCUCGGAACUGCUUUGGAAACUGUAGAGCUAGAGUGCAGGAGAGGUAAGUGGAAUUCCUAGUGUAGCGGUGAAAUGCGUAGAUAUUAGGAGGAACACCAGUGGCGAAGGCGGCUUACUGGACUGUAACUGACGUUGAGGCUCGAAGGCGUGGGGAGCAAACAGGAUUAGAUACCCUGGUA
rnacentral:rRNA from 1 species